UAUACAGCGAAACUGCGAAUGGCUCAUUAUAUAAGUUAUCGUUUAUUUGAUAGUGCCUUACUACUUGGAUAACCGUGGUAAUUCUAGAGCUAAUACAUGCUAAAAACCCCGACUUCGGAAGGGGUGUAUUUAUUAGAUACAAAACCAAUGCCCUUCGGGGCUCUUUGGUGAUUCAUGAUAACUAUACGAAUCGCACGGCCUUGCGCCGGCGAUGGUUCAUUCAAAUUUCUUCCCUAUCAACUUUCGAUGUUUGGGUAUUGGCCAAACAUGGUUGCAACAGGUAACGGAGGGUUAGGGCUCGACCCCGGAGAAGGAGCCUGAGAAACGGCUACUACAUCCAAGGAAGGCAGCAGGCGCGCAAAUUACCCAAUCCCGACUCGGGGAGGUAGUGACAAUAAAUACUGAUACAGGGCCCUUUCGGGCCUUGUAAUUGGAAUGAGUACAAUUUAAAUCCCUUAACGAGGAACAAUUGGAGGGCAAGUCUGGUGCCAGCAGCCGCGGUAAUUCCAGCUCCAAUAGCGUAUAU
rnacentral:rRNA from 1 species